rnacentral:rRNA from 1 species
UGUGAAAUGUUGGGUUAAGUCCCGCAACGAGCGCAACCCUUAUCCUUUGUUGCCAGCGGUCCGGCCGGGAACUCAAAGGAGACUGCCAGUGAUAAACUGGAGGAAGGUGGGGAUGACGUCAAGUCAUCAUGGCCCUUACGACCAGGGCUACACACGUGCUACAAUGGCAUAUACAAAGAGAAGCGACCUCGCGAGAGCAAGCGGACCUCAUAAAGUAUGUCGUAGUCCGGAUUGGAGUCUGCAACUCGACUCCAUGAAGUCGGAAUCGCUAGUAAUCGUAGAUCAGAAUGCUACGGUGAAUACGUUCCCGGGCCUUGUACACACCGCCCGUCACACCAUGGGAGUGGGUUGCAAAAGAAGUAGGUAGCUUAACCUUCGGGAGGGCGCUUACCACUUUGUGAUUCAUGACUGGGGUGAAGUCGUAACAAGGUAACCGUAGGGGAACCUGCGGUUGGAUCACCUCCUUA